CCUAGCUGUAGUCAAUGACCUAGGCUGCAUUGCACCUAGGCAAGUGUUACACUGCUGGGAGAAAAGCAGCUAAUGGCUGGCAGGCAUCCUGGGCCUGGUUGAUGCCAAAUUUGUGUUAACUAUACCAGUGUGCCGGCAUAGUUGCCUAUUCUAUACAUAUAUAUUAUUAAAGAUGUGUCAGGUGUAGACACU
rnacentral:snoRNA from 1 species